AGGACGAACGCUGGCGGCGUGCUUAACACAUGCAAGUCGAGCGGAAAGGCCCUUCGGGGUACUCGAGCGGCGAACGGGUGAGUAACACGUGAGUAAUCUGCCCCUAGCUCUGGGAUAGCUCCGGGAAACCGGGAUUAAUACCAGAUACGACCACUUUAGACAUCUUCUGUGGUGGAAAGAACUUCGGCUAGGGAUGAACUCGCGGCCUAUCAGCUUGUUGGUGAGGUAACGGCUCACCAAGGCGACGACGGGUAGCCGGCCUGAGAGGGCGACCGGCCACACUGGGACUGAGACACGGCCCAGACUCCUACGGGAGGCAGCAGUGGGGAAUAUUGCGCAAUGGGCGAAAGCCUGACGCAGCGACGCCGCGUGGGGGAUGAAGGCCUUCGGGUUGUAACCCUUUCAGCAGGGACGAAGCGAAAGUGACGGUACCUGCAGAAGAGCGCCGGCUAACUACGCGCCAGCAGCCGC
rnacentral:rRNA from 1 species